rnacentral:rRNA from 1 species
UACGAAGGGGGCUAGCGUUGCUCGGAAUCACUGGGCGUAAAGCGCACGUAGGCGGCUUCUAAGUCAGGGGUGAAAUCCUGGAGCUCAACUCCAGAACUGCCUUUGAUACUGGAAAGCUUGAGUUCGGGAGAGGUGAGUGGAACUGCGAGUGUAGAGGUGAAAUUCGUAGAUAUUCGCAAGAACACCAGUGGCGAAGGCGGCUCACUGGCCCGAUACUGACGCUGAGGUGCGAAAGCGUGGGGAGCAAACAGG